rnacentral:rRNA from 1 species
UACGUAGGUGGCGAGCGUUAUCCGGAAUUACUGGGCGUAAAGCGCACGCAGGCGGCUUUUUGGGUCUGACGUGAAAGCUCCUGGCUUAACUGGGAGAGGUCGUUGGAAACUAAAGAGCUUGAGGCAAUGAGAGGGGUGUGGAAUUCCCGGUGUAGUGGUGGAAUACGUAGAUAUCUGGAAGAACACCAGUGGCGAAGGCGGUCUCUUGGUCCUAUACUGACGCUAAGGCGCGAAAGCGUGGGGAGCAAAC